ACGCGCAGGCGCACGAAGCUGUCCCCAUCGAAAGUCAGCGAGAGCCCUGAGGUUGUGGUCACCACUACGUCGGCGCCGCUCAGGUGUGCGUGCAGCAGCGAAUCCAGAUGGAAGGGCAGAGCCACGAACACGCCGUCCACCUGCGGGCGGGGGUUGGGGGAGCGAUGAGGAAACUGAGGCCUACCAAGUGAACUGCACAGCAUCACCUAGCUCAUAAGGAGGAGAGGCUGGAUUCAAACCCAGUUUGUUUCAGGCCCAGGUGAAGACAAGGAGCCUCGAGCUGCUAACUGUGGUCGUCAGGAUCCCUCCUGUCCUCCCGGGGACCUCAGGGGACCAUCCUGCCACACAUACCCGGACUUUGCCGAUCUCGCCCUUGUGGAUGGAGAUGUUGGUGCCCAGGGCAGCCACAGUGACGACUCUCACGUAGGACACAGCAGGGUUGCCCCGGUUCUCGUUCUUGGUGGUGACGGUGAAGGGCGUCAGGCCCUGGGUGUUGACCCCCGGGCAGCCAGUUGUUGCCAGCACAUAGUUACAGGUGCCCUGGAAGUCAAACGCCCGGCCGUCGAAGGAGUGGUAGUGUGGGUCGCCCCACAGCCAGCACGUGGCCUCAUAGUUGGGCACACACAUGCCCUGGCCACCCUGCUCCUUGCACGUCUCCUGUGGCCGGCAUGUCACACCGUCGCACGGGUCUGGGGACAGAAGAGGGAGGACCUUGAGAGGCUGCCCAUUGUAAAGGAUGGCCGCUGCCUCCACAUCUACCCCAGUCUGUGCCAGGGAUCUGAGGGUUACCGCAGGCAAGACCAGAUUCCAGAGUCCUCAUGUCGAGGACCCAGGUCCUAUAGUUUGCUUUUGUAUUUGGUUUUGUUUUGUUGGUUUUUUGAGAUGGAGUCUUUCUCUGUCACCCAGGCUGGAGAGCAGUGGUGCAAUCUCGGCUCACUGCAACCUCUGCCUCCCGGGCUCUAGUGAUUCUCCUGACUCAGCCUCCUGAGUAGCUGGGAUUACAGGUGCCCGCCACCAUGCUUGGCUGAUUUUUGUAUUUUUAGUAGAGACAGAGUUUGAUCAUGUUUUCCAGGCUGGUCUCGAGCUCCUGACAUCAAGUGAUCAGCCAACCUUGGCCUCCCAGAGUGCUGGGAUUACAGGCAUGAGCCACCACGCCCAGCCUGCUAUUUUCAAGACCAGCCCCUGGGAGUCCCACACGUCUGACACUGUGGCCCCAUGGUGGACUGUGUCUAAGUCUCAGGUGUCAAAGUUCCCAUACGUGAGACCCGGGCCCCAGAGGUCCCUACAGCCAAGACCCCGGCCCUAGAGUCCCCCUACCUCUGAGACUGAGGCCCUGCCAUUUGCUGUGUGAGACUGAGGUUGUGGAGUCCAUGCACCUAAGACCAAGGCUCUGGGUCUGUGUUUACGAUGUAGUUUCCAUGGGGCCCUUGCUUGAGAUUGUAGCCUGUUCUUGUAUUUUAAGUUUUAUAGGAACCUCACCCUCUUCACUUACAUAGUCUACGGCUGCUUUCACGCCACCAUGGCAGAGUGAGUAGCUGUGAUCGAGAAGGCAUAGCCUACAAGCUUAAACAUUUACCAUCUAGCCCUUUAGAGAAAAGGUGCACUUGACCCACGUUGAGAUCUGUGCCCCAGGGGUCCUUGUGUCUGCAAUGCCUGCCCUGAGAGCAUUCAUGUCUGAGAUCCCAGCACUACAGUUCUCUCUGUUCAAGGCCUGGGCCCCAGGCCAGGUGUGGUGGCUCAGGCCUGUAAUACCAGCACUUCAAGAGGCUGAGGUGGGAGGAUCGCUUGAUCCCUGGAGUUGGAGACCAGCCUGGGCAGCAUAGGAAGACCCCAUUUCUACAAAAAAGAAA